GCAUAUCAAUAAGCGGAGGAAAAGAAACCAACAGGGAUUACCUCAGUAACGGCGAGUGAAGCGGUAAAAGCUCAAAUUUGAAAUCUGGCUCUUUUAGAGUCCGAAUUGUAAUUUGUAGAAGAUGCUUCGGGUGUGGUUCCGGUCUAAGUUCCUUGGAACAGGACGUCAUAGAGGGUGAGAAUCCCGUAUGUGACUGGAUACCUAUGCUCAUGUGAAGCUCUUUCGACGAGUCGAGUUGUUUGGGAAUGCAGCUCAAAAUGGGAGGUAUAUUUCUUCUAAAGCUAAAUAUUGGCCAGAGACCGAUAGCGCACAAGUAGAGUGAUCGAAAGAUGAAAAGCACUUUGGAAAGAGAGUUAAACAGUACGUGAAAUUGUUGAAAGGGAAGCGCUUGCAAUCAGACUUGCACUUGGUGUUCAUCAGGGUCUCGUACCCUGUGUACUUCAUCAAGUUCAGGCCAGCAUCAGUUUGAGUGGUUAGAUAAAGGCUUAGAGAAUGUGGCCCUCUUCGGGGGGUGUUAUAGCUCUAGGUGCAAUGUAGCCUACUUGGACUGAGGACCGCGCUUCGGCUAGGAUGCUGGCGUAAUGGUUGUAAGCGACCCGUCUUGAAACACGGACCAAGGAGUGUACCUAAUAUGCGAGUGUUUGGGUGUUAAACCCAUACGCGUAAUGAAAGUGAACGCUGGUGAGAACCCUUAAGGGUGCAUCAUCGACCGAUCUUGAUGUCUUCGGAUGGAUUUGAGUAAGAGCAUAUUGGGUGCGACCCGAAAGAUGGUGAUCUAUACGUGAAUAGGGUGAAGCCAGAGGAAACUCUGGUGGAGGCUCGCAGCGGUUCUGACGUGCAAAUCGAUCGUCAAAUUUGCGUAUAGGGGCGAAAGACUAAUCGAACCAUCUAGUAGCUGGUUCCUGCG
rnacentral:rRNA from 1 species